rnacentral:rRNA from 1 species
AGUGAACGCUGGCGGUAGGCCUAACACAUGCAAGUCGAACGGCAGCACAGUAAGAGCUUGCUCUUACGGGUGGCGAGUGGCGGACGGGUGAGGAAUACAUCGGAAUCUACUUUUUCGUGGGGGAUAACGUAGGGAAACUUACGCUAAUACCGCAUACGACCUACGGGUGAAAGCAGGGGAUCUUCGGACCUUGCGCGAUUGAAUGAGCCGAUGUCGGAUUAGCUAGUUGGCGGGGUAAAGGCCCACCAAGGCGACGAUCCGUAGCUGGUCUGAGAGGAUGAUCAGCCAUACUGGAACUGAGACACGGUCCAGACUCCUACGGGAGGCAGCAGUGGGGAAUAUUGGACAAUGGGCGCAAGCCUGAUCCAGCCAUACCGCGUGGGUGAAGAAGGCCUUCGGGUUGUAAAGCCCUUUUGUUGGGAAAGAAAAGCAGCAGGUUAAUACCCCGCUGUUCCGACGGUACCCAAAGAAUAAGCACCGGCUAACUUCGUG